UCCGGCUUGACGCCGGCAGUCCCCCGAGAGUCCUCAGCUUUACCUGUUAGUAACACGGGGCAAGGGUUGCGCUCGUUGCGGGACUUAACCCAACAUCUCACGACACGAGCUGACGACAGCCAUGCAGCACCUGUGUUGCGGUUCCCUUUCGGGCACACCUCCAUCUCUGGAGGCUUCCGCACAUGUCAAGGGUAGGUAAGGUUUUUCGCGUUGCAUCGAAUUAAUCCACAUAAUCCACCGCUUGUGCGGGUCCCCGUCAAUUCCUUUGAGUUUUAACCCUGCGGCCGUACUCCCCAGGCGGAUAACUUAAUGCGUUAGCUGCGCCACCGACGACAUGGAAUGUCGCCAACACCUAGUUCCCACCGUUUACGGCGUGGACUAC
rnacentral:misc_RNA from 1 species